rnacentral:rRNA from 1 species
AUUGAACGCUGGCGGCAUGCCUUACACAUGCAAGUCGAACGGCAGCACGGGAGCAAUCCUGGUGGCGAGUGGCGAACGGGUGAGUAAUAUAUCGGAACGUGCCCAGUAGUGGGGGAUAGCCCGGCGAAAGCCGGAUUAAUACCGCAUGAGACCUGAGGGUGAAAGCGGGGGAUCGCAAGACCUCGCGCUAUUGGAGCGGCCGAUAUCAGAUUAGCUAGUUGGUGGGGUAAAGGCCCACCAAGGCAACGAUCUGUAGUUGGUCUGAGAGGACGACCAGCCACACUGGGACUGAGACAGGGCCCAGACUCCUACGGGAGGCAGCAGUGGGGAAUUUUGGACAAUGGGGGCAACCCUGAUCCAGCCAUUCCGCGUGAGUGAAGAAGGCCUUCGGGUUGUAAAGCUCUUUCGGCAGGAACGAAACGGCGAGCUCUAACAUAGCUCGCUAAUGACGGUACCUGAAGAAGAAGCACCGGCUAACUACGUGCCAGCCGCCGCCGUAAUAC